AUCACUGGGGAUCUUGUUAACAUGCAAAUUCUGACUCGAGUUCUGGGGAGAGGUCUGAGAUUCUGCAUUUCUAACAAGCUUACAGGUGAAGCCA
rnacentral:miRNA from 1 species